rnacentral:rRNA from 1 species
CCAAGCCGUAAGGUGGAGCUAAUCCCUUAAAGAUACUCUCAGUUCGGAUUGUAGGCUGAAACUCGCCUACAUGAAGCUGGAGUUACUAGUAAUCGCAGAUCAGAAUGCUGCGGUGAAUGCGUUCCCGGGUCUUGUACACACCGCCCGUCACACCACGGGAGUUGGAGACGCCCGAAGCCGAUUAUCUAACCUUUUGGAAGAAGUCGUCGAAGGUGGAAUCAAUAACUGGGGUGAAGUCGUAACAAGGUAGCCGUAUCGGAAGGUGCGGCUGGAUCACCUCCUUUCUAAGGAGA